rnacentral:lncRNA from 1 species
GAAGCCAGGCCAAGAAGAAUCCCAGGACUGGAAGGCCUUGUGGGACGUCCCAGGUUUGUCUUGUGUCAAUAGCACUGAUACUCAAUCUCCUACUCCCAUCUGUGAGCAUGCAGACCCUACUUGCCUUCCCACAGCCUCCCUUUUCAUAUUUUUCAUGUUUCUUUAGCUCUGUCUUCAAGCCUUGUUGCUCCCGCAAAAAAACCUGCCUCUUCCUCCAGUCCUCCCAAGCAGGGGGAACAGUCCUGACACCUUUCCAAGCCCUGGUCCAUGGACAUUGUGCCCCCUUCUCCCUGCCCAUGGUGACCUGCUCCAAAACCCUCAAGGAGAAGGGAGUGUAUGUCAUUUCCUCCCUGUAAAGUAAAGAUAAUUUUGCAGGGGACUGUGUGGAUGAAAUGACAUGAUGCAUGGAAAUCCCUUAGCGUGUGCCUGGCAUGUAAACUGCAGGUGUCAUCAUUAUUACUGAGGAAUACUGAGUCCCGAACAUGGCUGUCUCAUUGGUGGACUGGGGUCUCCCCCAGGGCAUUCAUCUACUAUGUGUUUAUUGCACCCUUUUUCCAUGUGAGGCACAUGCCAGGGACUGGGCACAUGGUAUGAACAAGACACAGGUCAUCGGUGUCCUCUUGAGCUCCCUGGCUUGGCAGCAGAUGCAUACCUGGGAAGGAUGCUAGGUCAUCCGGGAACUCUACCUCCUUCAAAUCCCUAAGGACUGUGCUCCCAAUCCGCUUACGCUCAAGGAAGAACUGGAAGGCCCAGAACCAGCCUGCUGUCAGGAUCAGAACAAAAGAGGAGGACUGCAUAUGUAUGGACCCACUCCAGAUGGCACGGGGACGGGGGGAGUAGGAAAAGUGGCAUGAUGAGGAAAUGGAGGCACAGACUGAUUAGAAAACCAGCUCAAGGUCAUGUUGCUGCUGGGCCUCCUCCAGGCACUGCUUGUGCUGCACCUCGAUCAUCUGCACAUAGUCACACUCCUCCUGCAGCCUGGCCGCCUGGCCGCCCUGAGAACAAAGACAGGGAGGGCCCAUCAGCCUCGUCCAUAGACUCAGGAGCACCAGGCCCAGUCUCUGGACUGCACCUGCCCUCUCCCUGGAAGAGAUCCAAGUUCCAGAUGGAACCCCAAUACCAACCCAAGACUGAAACCUGAACCUGACCCCAACCUGUUGUCCAUUGCCCCCAAACCUGGGUCGGCCCCGAGGACCCUGCCACAGCUUCUUGAUGGCUCCCCCAUUAGUGCUGCAGCUGUAACUGCUUUGUCUCUUUGCGGGUGGCACAACUCCAGAUGGCGGCAAGAGGGCCUCCCCUUAGAGGCCUGAGCUGGCCCUCUGGACUCUGCCACUCUCCAGCUUGGUUUGAGAGUCUGUCCCUGUCUUGAUCUCCCUGAUGAGUGGGGCCAGCUCGUGCUACUACUCUGUUAUGUGGA